UCACUUCCCUCCCGGCUUUUCCUCCCGACUUAUCCACUUUAGGGGCGUCUCGGAGUGCCGGAGUCCCCCGGGGAAGAGCGGGGUGCCGGUGUCCGCUCCGGGCUCGGAUGGGAAGUGGCGGGAGGAGCGACCCGGGAUGUUCAGUCUGAUGGCCAGUUGCUGCGGCUGGUUCAAGCGGUGGCGGGAGCCUGUCAGAAUACCCUGAAGAUGUAGCUCCUACUGUUGGAUUUUCAAAAAUUAACCUUAGACAAGGAAAGUUUGAAGUCACCAUCUUUGACUUGGGAGGUGGAAUAAGAAUUCGGGGAAUCUGGAAGAAUUACUAUGCUGAAUCCUAUGGGGUAAUAUUUGUUGUGGAUUCCAGUGAUGAAGAGAGAAUGGAAGAGACAAAAGAGGCUAUGUCAGAAAUGCUAAGACAUCCUAGGAUAUCGGGAAAGCCUAUAUUGGU
rnacentral:sRNA from 1 species